ensembl:snRNA
ACUAUCCUUUUCUUGGGGUUGUGCUACUGUCUAAUAAGUGCAUACUGAGGGCAGUACUGUUAACACCUACACAACAUGCUGGCAUCAACUAGAGCUUUGCUUUAUAUUGGUGCUAUUUUUGGAAAA